AGUCAAUGUUAGUGUCCUUCCUGUGGGAUGCUCCAACAUCCCAAAUUAUUCUAAAAUAAGUCUCUUCUCUGUGAAGUUCUGUGAAAGAGAUCAACAAAGACUUUCCAUGGGAGGCGAAAUGUUAAAUUAUAAUAAGAUCAUCGAUGUGUGUGGGGGCAUAGGAAU